rfam:Loxodonta africana unplaced genomic scaffold scaffold_12, whole genome shotgun sequence.
AAAAUGGAUUUCUUCAAAUCCACGAAAAACAGUAAAUGUAUUUUUCU